rnacentral:snRNA from 8 species
AUCGCUUCUCGGCCUUUCGGCUCAGAAUCAAGUGUAGUAUCUGUUCUUAUCACUUUCAUAUCUGAUACUUCCCCCAUCGGGGGACUACCUAUUAAAUGGAUUUUUCGAACAGGGAGUCGGAACUGGGGCUUGCUCCGUCUGCUCCACGCAU